AGAGUUUGAUCCUGGCUCAGAUUGAACGCUGGCGGCAGGCUUAACACAUGCAAGUCGAGCGGGGAGAUGUAGCUUGCUACAUUUCCUAGCGGCGGACGGGUGAGUAAUGCUUAGGAAUCUGCCUAUUAGUGGGGGACAACAUUCCGAAAGGAAUGCUAAUACCGCAUACGCCCUACGGGGGAAAGCAGGGGAUCUUCGGACCUUGCGCUAAUAGAUGAGCCUAAGUCAGAUUAGCUAGUUGGUGGGGUAAAGGCCUACCAAGGCGACGAUCUGUAGCGGGUCUGAGAGGAUGAUCCGCCACACUGGGACUGAGACACGGCCCAGACUCCUACGGGAGGCAGCAGUGGGGAAUAUUGCACAAUGGGCGAAAGCCUGAUGCAGCAACGCCGCGUGAAGGAU
rnacentral:rRNA from 1 species